GCCCGUCUGGCUCAAUUGGUAGAGCAACGGUUUUGUAAACCGUAGGUUACAGGUUCAAGUCCUGUGAUGGGCACCA
rnacentral:tRNA from 1 species